rnacentral:rRNA from 1 species
GACAGAGGCCUCGAGCGUUAGGCGGAAUCACUGGGCUUAAAGCGUGUGUAGGCGGGCCCGUAAGUGUCUUGUGAAAUCCCACGGCUCAACCGUGGAACUGCUGGGCAUACUGCGGGUCUUGGGCCAACUAGGGGCAGCCGGGAACAAGCGGUGGAGCGGUGAAAUGCGUAGAUAUCGCUUGGAACGCCGAAGGUGAAAACGAGGCUGCUGG